rnacentral:tRNA from 1 species
GGAGAGGUCGCAUAGCGGCUUAUUGCGCACGCUUGGAAAGCGUGCAACCCGAAAGGGCUCGUGGGUUCGAAUCCCACCCUCUCCGCCA